AAAGCGCACGUAGGCGGCUUUUUAAGUCAGGGGUGAAAUCCCGGGGCUCAACCCCGGAACUGCCCUUGAAACUGGGAAGCUAGAAUCUUGGAGAGGCGAGUGGAAUUCCGAGUGUAGAGGUGAAAUUCGUAGAUAUUCGGAAGAACACCAGUGGCGAAGGCGACUCGCUGGACAAGUAUUGACGCUGAGGUGCGAAAGCGUGGGGAGCAAACAGGAUUAGAUACCCCAGU
rnacentral:rRNA from 1 species